CCAAAACAAAAUAAAAAACUAUAUUUAUUAGAUGUAAAAGAGAACAAAUAUGGCUCAAGUAAUCAUGUUUGUAUAUGUUUUGAUCGUUUUUCUUUCUCUAUUUCUUGUUGAAGUCGGUAGAGUUGGAAGUGAAAAAACAACCAUUCCUUGUGAUAGUGAUCAUGAUUGUGAUGAGGUUUUUAAUUGUAUGCAUAUGUGCAUUGAUGGAUUUUGUGACUACGUGGUUUUGAAUCUAUAAGUUUGAGAUACUAGUUUGUUGUAGCAAUUUCUCAAACUUUUAUAUAGAUUAUUAAUUAAUAAAAAAUUUGGAGUGAUAUGUUUCAUUA